rnacentral:rRNA from 1 species
UACAGAGACUGCAAGCGUUUAUUCGGAUUCACUGGGCGUAAAGGGUGCGUAGGCGGCGCGGUAAGUCGGGUGUGAAAUCUCGGAGCUUAACUCCGAAACUGCAUUCGAUACUGCCGUGCUUGAGGACUGGAGAGGAGACUGGAAUUUACGGUGUAGCGGUGAAAUGCGUAGAUAUCGUAAGGAAGACCAGUGGCGAAGGCGGGUCUCUGGACAGUUCCUGACGCUGAGGCACGAAGGUCAGGGGAGCAAACGGG